UAUUGUUAGUUGCCAUCAUUCAGUUGGGCACUCUAGCGAGACUGCCGGUAAUAAACCGGAGGAAGGUGGGGGAGUGACGUCAAAUCAUCAUGCCCCUUAUGACCUGGGCUACACACGUGCUACAAUGGUUGGUACAACGAGUUGCGAGUCGGUGACGGCGAGCUAAUCUCUUAAAGCCAACCUCAGUUCGGAUUGUAGGCUGCAACUCGCCUACAUGAAGUCGGAAUCGCUAGUAAUCGCGGAUCAGCACGCCGCGGUGAAUACGUUCCCGGGCCUU
rnacentral:rRNA from 1 species